AGGCCUGCGGAGAGAGAGGCAGGGUCUGAUCCGUAGCCUCUGUGGCAGCUGUUGAUCAGAACUUGCCUCUCUUUCUCUCUCAG
rfam:Myotis brandtii contig203731, whole genome shotgun sequence.